rnacentral:rRNA from 1 species
UUUUAAAGGAAGGUUUCGGAGUGGAAUUUGAAAUGACGUGAGCGGCGGACGGGUGAGUAACGCGUGGGUAACCUGCCUCAUACAGGGGGAUAACAGUUAGAAAUGACUGCUAAUACCGCAUAAGCACACAGUACCGCAUGGUACGGUGUGAAAAACUCCGGUGGUAUGAGAUGGACCCGCGUCUGAUUAGCUGGUUGGCGGGGUAACGGCCCACCAAGGCGACGAUCAGUAGCCGACCUGAGAGGGUGACCGGCCACAUUGGGACUGAGACACGGCCCAAACUCCUACGGGAGGCAGCAGUGGGGAAUAUUGCACAAUGGGGGAAACCCUGAUGCAGCAACGCCGCGUGAGUGAAGAAGUAUUUCGGUAUGUAAAGCUCUAUCAGCAGGGAAGAAAGUGACGGUACCUGACUAAGAAGCCCCGGCUAACUACGUGCCAGCAGCCGCGGUAAUACGUAGGGGGCAAGCGUUAUCCGGAUUUACUGGGUGUAAAGGGAGCGUAGACGGCACAGCAAGUCUGAAGUGAAAUCCCCGGGCUCAACCCGGGAACUGCUUUGGAAACUGUUGGGCUGGAGUGCUGGAGAGGCAAGCGGAAUUCCUAGUGUAGCGGUGAAAUGCGUAGAUAUUAGGAGGAACACCAGUGGCGAAGGCGGCUUGCUGGACAGUAACUGACGUUGAGGCUCGAAAGCGUGGGGAGCAAACAGGAUUAGAUACCCUGGUAGUCCACGCCGUAAACGAUGCAUACUAGGUGUCGGGGAGCAAAGCUUUCCGGUGCCGCCGCNAACGCAGUAAGUAUGCCACC